GAUAAAUGAUAUCAUAUAAUAAUUUGUCUUUCUUUGGCUUACUUCACUUACUGUGAUCAUCUCUAGGUCCAUCCGUUGAUGUUGCUGCACGUGGCAUUUUUUCAUUAUUCUUAUGGCUGAGUAAAUACUCCGCUGUCUGUAUCUCUGUGUAUGUACACAUACCCCCCACGUCCUUAUGCGUUCAUCCGUCAAGGGAUAGGUCGCUUCCAUGUCCUGAUUCCGUGUUCUGGUUGCACAGGUCGCUUCCAUGUCCUGAUUCCGUGUUCUGGUUGCACAGGUCGCUUCCAUGUCCUGAUUCCGUGUUCUGGUUGCACAGGUCGCUUCCAUGUCUUGGCAACUGUAAAAAGUGCUGCAGUGAACAUUGGAGUUCAUGCGUCUUUUCCAAUUAAGGUUUUCUCUAGAUAUAUGCCCAGGAGUGGGCUUGCAGGAC
ensembl:lncRNA